GAGAUUCUUGAAGAAAAGGGAUAAAAAGGAAAAACAUGUGCAAAUGUCAAAUUCUCAUAUUGGUCAUGUGUAGGGAGUUGCUGAUAUACGUAAACGCAGGUCUAGGCUCCAUAGUUGAUUCUCCUUCAUUUAGGCCCGGUAGAGAUUCAUCCCCAGUUAUAGAUUCAGGAACAGCUUUUCGAAACCAGGAUAAAAUAAGUUCGAUCGAUAAACUGCAG